GAUGAACGCUGGCGGCGUGCCUAAUACAUGCAAGUCGAGCGAAAAGAUGAGGAGCUUGCUCCUCUGACGUUAGCGGCGGAAGGGUGAGUAACAUGUGGAUAACAUACCUAUAAGACUGGGAUAACUUCGGGAAACCGGAGCUAAUACCGGAUAAUAUAUUGAACCGCAUGGUUCAAUAGUGAAAGACGGUGUUGCUGUAACUUAUAGAUGGAUCCGCGCCGCAUUAGCUGAUUGGUAAGGUAACGGCUUACCAAGGCAACGAUGCGUAGCCGACCUGAGAGGGUGAACGGCCACUCUGGAACUGAGACACCGUCCAGACUCCUACGGGAGGCAGCAGUACGGAAUCUUCCGCAAUGGGCGAAAGCCUGACGGAGCAACGCCGCCUGAGUGAUGAAGGUCUUCGGAUCGUAAAACUCUGUUAUUAGUGAAGACCAAAUGUGUAAGUAACUAUGCACUUCUUGACGGUACCUAAUCAGAAAGCCACGGCUAACUACGUG
rnacentral:rRNA from 1 species